UACGAAGGGGGCUAGCGUUGUUCGGAUUUACUGGGCGUAAAGCGCACGUAGGCGGCUUUCUAAGUCAGGGGUGAAAUCCUGGAGCUCAACUCCAGAACUGCCCUUGAUACUGGAAAGCUUGAGUUCGGGAGAGGUGAGUGGAACUGCGAGUGUAGAGGUGAAAUUCGUAGAUAUUCGCAAGAACACCAGUGGCGAAGGCGGCUCACUGGCCCGAUACUGACGCUGAGGUGCGAAAGCGUGGGGAGCAAACAGG
rnacentral:rRNA from 1 species